GUCAACGAUCAAGGUACGUUCAACACACCGCAUCCCGUCGGAUCGGGAAGGUGAAGUAACGGUAGGCGGAGUAACUACCAUGGUCGGAGACAACACGGGAACCCUCGGUGUCGUAGACA
rnacentral:rRNA from 1 species